rnacentral:rRNA from 1 species
AGUCCACAUCGACGGGGAGGUUUGGCACCUCGAUGUCGGCUCAUCACAUCCUGGGGCUGUAGUAGGUCCCAAGGGUUGGGCUGUUCGCCCAUUAAAGUGGUACGCGGGCUGGGUUCAGAACGUCGUGAGACAGUUCGGUCCCUAUCCGUCGCAGGCGUAGGAAAUUUGAGAAGACCUGUCCUUAGUACGAGAGGACCGGGAUGGACGUACCUCUGGUGUACCAGUUGUUCUGCC